rnacentral:rRNA from 1 species
AGAGUUUGAUCCUGGCUCAGGAUGAACGCUGGCGGUAUGCUUAACACAUGCAAGUCGAACGGUGUCUUCGGACAUAGUGGCGGACGGGUGAGUAACGCGUGAGAAUCUGCCUUCAGGUUGGGGACAACAGCUGGAAACGGCUGCUAAUACCCAAUGUGCCGAGAGGUGAAAGCUUUAGUGCCUGAAGAUGAGCUCGCGUCUGAUUAGCUAGUUGGAGUGGUAACGGCACACCAAGGCAGCGAUCAGUAACUGGUCUGAGAGGAUGACCAGUCACACUGGGACUGAGACACGGCCCAGACUCCUACGGGAGGCAGCAGUGGGGAAUUUUCCGCAAUGGGCGAAAGCCUGACGGAGCAAUACCGCGUGAGGGAGGAAGGCUCUUGGGUUGUAAACCUCUUUUCUCAGGGAAGAACACAAUGACGGUACCUGAGGAAUAAGCAUCGGCUAACUCCGUGCCAGCAGCCGCGGUAAUACGGAGGAUGCAAGCGUUAUCCGGAAUUAUUGGGCGUAAAGCGUCCGCAGGUGGCACUUCAAGUCUGUCGUCAAAGACCGGGGCUUAACCCUGGAAAGGCGAUGGAAACUGAACAGCUAGAGAGAGGUAGGGGUAGAGGGAAUUCCCAGUGUAGCGGUGAAAUGCGUAGAGAUUGGGAAGAACAUCGGUGGCGAAAGCGCUCUACUGGACCUCAUCUGACACUCAGGGACGAAAGCUAGGGGAGCGAAUGGGAUUAGAUACCCCCGUAGUCC